rnacentral:tRNA from 1 species
CGGGGUGUAGCGCAGCUUGGUAGCGCGCUUCGUUCGGGACGAAGAAGUCGCAGGUUCGAAUCCUGUCACCCCGACCA